rnacentral:lncRNA from 1 species
AUUUCACCUAUUCACCAGGCCUCAUCAGUCCUUCUUGAUGAGAUCAUUAGAAUCCAGACGUUGUCUCCAGUAUAAUCACAAACUUAGCUUUUCGCCAUUUACCAAUGUGAUAAGCAUGUUUUUCUGUAUAUACUAUUUUAUUAUUUAUUUUUUUUAAUUACUCAAAUGAAUUUACCACAUCUGUAGUUGUAUAAUGAUCAUCACAAUCCAAUUUCACAGGAUUUCCAUCCUGCAGCCCAAGCACAUCCCCCCACCCCCAAACUGUCUCCUCUGGAGACCAUAACUUUUUCAAUGUCUGUGAGUCAGCAUCUGUUCUGCAAAGAAGUUCAGUCUGUCCUUUUUUCAGAUUCCACAUGUCAGUGAAAGCAUUUGAUGUUGGUGUCUCAGUGUAUGGCUGACUUCACUUAGCAUGAUAAUUUCUAGGUCCAUCCAUGUUGCUAAAAAUGCUGGUAUUUCGUUCCUUUUAAUGGCCGAGUAAUAUUCCAUUGUGUAUAUGUACCACAUCUUGAUCCACUCCUCCAUCGAUGGACAUUUAGGUUGUUUCCAUGUCUUGGCUAUUGUAAAUAGUGCUGCAGUGAACAUCGGAGUAAAUGCGACUUUGUGAGUCGUGGUUUUCUCUGGAUAGGUGCCCAGGAGUGGGAUUGCUGGAUCCAAUGGUAGUUCUAUGUUUAGUUUUCUGAGGCAUCUCCAUACUGCUUUCCACAGUGGUUGCACCAGUUUACACUAACCAUGAAAGAGCAGAAAGAGAAAUUAGGCAAGCAAUCCUGUUUACCAUCACAUCCAAAAGAAUAAAAUACCUAGGAGUAAACCUACCUAAAGAGACAAAAGACCUGUACUCUGAAAACUAUAAGACACUGAUGAAGGAAAUCAAAGUUGAUAAUCAUGAAAAUGUGGGAGUUCCCAUGGUGGCUCAGUGGUAACGAACCCAACUGUAACCAUGACGAUGCAGGUUCGAUCCGUGGCCUUGCUCAGUGGGUUAAGGAUCCAGUGUACCAUGAGCUGUGGUGUAGGUCGCAGACGUGGCUCAGAUCCCAUGUUGCUAUGGUUGUGGUGUAGGCCAGCAGCUGCAGUUCUGAUUUGACCCCAGCCUGGGGACCUCUGUAUGCCAUGGGUGCAGCCCUAAAAAGCAAAAAAAAAAAGGAAAUAGAUAUCUAAUAUUUAUUUCCAAAUACGACUGUUAGGUAACAAAAGCAACUUAACCAUAUUCAUUUAUAUUUAGUGUGUCUAUGCAUAACAGAAUUAACUGGAGCACAUGUCCCUAAAGAAGGUAAUGUCCAUUUAUUUUCUUUUCUAUUUCAGUCAAGGGUAGAGAUAUUAUUAAGUACUUAACCACAAAAUAAAUACUCCUUUUUCUUAAAAUGUACAUGAUCCUGGGAGUUCCCGUCGUGGCGUAGCAGAAACGAAUCUGACUAGGAACCAUGAGGUUGUAGGUUUGAUCCCUGGCCUUGCUCAGCGGGUUAAGGAUCUGGCGUUGCCAUGAGCUGUGGUGUAGGUCACAGAUGCAGCUCAGAUCUGGUGUGGCUGUGGCUGUGUCUGUGGCCAGCAUCAACAGCUCUGAUUUGACCCCUAGCCUGGGAAUCUCCAUAUGCCACGGGUGUGGCCCUAAAAAGACAAAGCCGUACACACACACACACACACACACACACACACACACACACACGAAAGUACACCAUCCUGAAAUUGUUCAUUCUUUUUCCUUGGGUUUCAAGGUCAUCUUCUCAAUAUUAUAUAAAAUUGCCUUCAGUUGCAAAGGAGUUCUUGUCAUCAGUUUUAUAGACUGACCCCUGUAGAAAGUAACAGGGGAUUUAAUGCAUAAAUGAGAACAAUAAAAGCUAGCAGUGGACCUAGUGGAGAGACUGUUCUGAUGGGCAGUUGAUAUUCUGUUUGGGGGCAUGUCUGUUUCACUGAUUCUCCUGUUUGCUCCCUAAGGGUGUCUUAAGCCCAUUAACAGAAGUUGACUGUUUAGAUGAUUUUUGCUUUUUACCCUAGAAUUUCUCCCAUUUAUGUUACCUAUCAAAGUACAUUAGCCUUACUGCUAAAUAUUAGGUCUUACACUGUGUAACCACGUACAGAUUGAUUGCUCAACCCCGGAACUCUCAAGCAUCUAGUUAGAUUUCUUUGGAAUUUGGUUUUUCAAGAGAUCACUUUCCUCCUCCUGUAGAGUGAGGAAAGUUUCCCAGAAACUGAGCCUCUCUACUACCACUGUGCUAAUAAAUACAUAAUUUCAGUGCAUUUUUCAGAUCAAAACUCCUCUCCACCAUUUAUAGGGGAAAAGGUGAUGGACUUAAUAAUUUGUCUGUCUCUUCCAUGCCCCAAAGACACUAUUUUGGGUUCUUAACCCCCUGAGAGGCAUUGGGAACUCCUAAAUGACUUUUUAGACAGAUAUUGCUGUUGAAAAGAGCAGAGGAGUAUUCUUUGGGCUUGCUCCACAUUCCGCCCUGUUAGACCUCAGACUCCUCUUACUAAUACCUACUGGGCCUUCCUUCUUUCAUCCCCCUGCAUUUCUCCCCGGCUUUUCCUCCUUCCAACCUGAGCCUGCACUGCAGAGGUCAUCUCCACACGCUCUGGGAGGUGAACAAUUGCAGGUGUGUCCCAGGCAUUGUCCAAAACCCAGAUCAGUGAUGCCUUGCACAUAUGCGCAAAUAAUAGAUGCGGGUGUACGUAGAGUUGCUUCUUGAACAAUGCAGGGGUGUUAGGGCCAGUGGCCUCCUUGCUGAGUACCACUAUCUCUGCCUCUGAAACAACGAAAUUGAUAAAUGACUCCCCCAAAGGCAGGAAGCUGAAAGUCUGGAUAGAAUCAGGACUCAAACCCUAGUUCUUUUUUAAAAUUUUUUUAUUGUAAUUGAUUCACAAUGUUCUGUCAAUUUCUGCUGUACAGCAAAGUGACCCAGUUAUACAUACACACACACACAAACAUACAUAUACAUAUAUACACAUUCUUUCCCUCAUGUUCCAUCACAAAUGGUUGAAUACAGUGCCCUGUGCUAUACAAUUGUGAUCUCUAGUCGAACAAAACUCACCCCCCCACUUAAUUAAAGAGCUGUAAAGUGAAAAUACAAGUACUGUUUUUAUUGAAAAAGAUCUGUGUAUAAGGUGUGAGCUCUGCAGUUGAAACCUGUGCUGUUCAAGAGUCAACUGAACAGCUGAUUUGAAAAGGAGCUAUGAGUUCAAUGUUCCUUGAAUUUAGGAUUAAAGAGAGCAAAGAAGGUUAGAAGAAUCUCUGCUUGACCCCCAUUGUUCCUAAUGCUGCAGGGCUUAAGAUCCUACAGGGUUCUCAAGAUGGGGAAACCUAAAAAUGAGGUAUUGCUAUAAUGAAUUAUCAUUUGGGAAAUAAUUGAAAUGAAAUUAAGCUCCACUAAUUUUUUUCCAGGUCAAAACUUGGUUGCAAUAGGUAAUAUCUUAAUAUUAUAUGUUUUUUUCACUUUUCCCACUUACCUUUAACAUUUGUAUUUUUCUUCCCUUUGGAUAGGAAAAGGUAGAAGCGAUGCUUGGUAGGUCUUACUGGCUGUAGGGAAGCAGAAUAUAAAAUAGGAUCCAUCAAAUUAUCUAUCCUUGAAAAAUGGAAUCUUAGAGUAAACUCAUCAAGAGAUGGUCUUGACUAUUAUAUUGAAAACAGGAGUCUUUAUUUUGCCUAAAUACAUACUAAGUUCUUCCAGGGAACCUGCUCAAGUUCAACUUAUGCCUUGAAAUAAGGUUGACAAUGUGGAUUGGAUGAGUCACAUGCUUCUCCAAGCCAAAAAAAAAUCUUCCUUUUUGGUGACAGAAUUUAAUAAAGUUUUUUUUUUUUUAAUAUAUGUGUAAUUCUUGCCUCAAUCCAUAACAAUUUCUUAAUAAGGAAAUAGAAAAUGAAAUGGCCAAUAAAUACUGGCUAAUUCCCUUUCAUGUUGACAGUCACAUCAAUUCCUAAGGUUAGUUUAUCUUUUGGAAGGUAGGAAGUCAGUGGGUACAGGAACAGAAAAUUCUGAAAGUAAAUUAAUCAGAGGAGAGUGAGAGAGCUUUGAGUCUUAAACCAGAGCUUAUAAAAAUUCUGGGAGAUAGUGCAUUGAGAGAAGUAAAUUGUUUGAUAAAUCUCUGUAAUAAUUGUGGUUUUAGAACAAGUUUUGUUAAUGAUUCAAAGACAAGAUAAUUUCCCUAUUAAAUUACAGAUAUUUAGCCAGAUACUGCUAAGUCAUGUGGUAUGAUAAACCCCAGACUGUGGAUUUCACAACCUGAUGAGUUGGCAUCAGCCUCUAUUUUCCCGUCAGACCUGGAGGCCUUCAGCUGAGUGCCCUCCUCCAGCCCUUAAAUCAGAUAAGGGUCCAUCUGGCCAUGUUGAUGCUUUAAGCAUCCUCCAUACCACUUUGACAUUUUGCUCAGUAUUUUUCUCAUCUCCUUUAUGGAUCAUGACACCUCUCGGCUUACUCUGGCAGUUCAGCAUCCUCCACUUUGUUUUCAAAGUGUACACCUAAAGUAACCUCUUUACCCUGCUCUCAGCAUUCUUUCCUCCCCUUGAAGUGAGAAUAAAUACAUCACCAUUACAGCCCUUGGCAACGUGUUAUUUCUGCUCUUGCUCGCCAGAGUCAAUGCUAGAAUCGCACGGUGGGAGCCUUGACAGCGCUCUUCACACUUGCUCUGUGCUGGGGAAAGCACCCAAAGGUGGCAUUCCCACUGCUCCUCUCCAGCCGUCUUCAUCCUCCUCUUGGUCACAUACCUUUCCUUGCAUCCUUGGGCUGUCAAGGAAGCCUUGCAUUAAAGACCAAAAAUAGUCCAGUUAUCUUCAUAGCACAUCCAACUUUUCUUUUCUUUUCUUUUUUUUCUUUUUUUUUUUUUUUUUUUUUUUUUUUUUUUUUUAAGGUCACACCUGUGUCAUAUGGAAGUUCCCAGGUUAAGGGGUUGAAUCAGAGCUACAGCUGCCAUCCUACGCGGGAUCUGAGCCAUGUGUGCAACCUACACCACAGCUCUCGGCAGCGCUGGAUCCUUAGCCCACUGAGCGAGACCAGGGACUGAACCUGCAUCCUCACUGAUACUAGUCUGAUUCUUAACCCGCUGAGCCACAGCAGGAACUCCACAUUCAACAUUUCGAAGAGGAUACAUUUUCAAUGAUUUAUGUAGUUUCACUAUUUAAAGCUUUUCAAGAGAGAAUGUUCGUGUAAUCCCAAAUACCUUUCAAUGCUUGAGUGUAAAAGACACUCAAAUCAUUGUAAAAUGAAAACCUUAGUUAAUGAUGAUGUGUGUGCGCGUGUAUACACACACGCGCAUGCUUUUGUCCUAAGCAUUCUAAGUUAAGUCCAAGUAAAUUUUAUGACACUUACUGGAAAAAAAUAUGAAUUCUUUCGAAGUAGCAGAACUUGUGUACAGAAGUCAGAUUUUUAUUGCUAGGAUUGCUUUUGACUAGGUAUUGCCACAGGGCUGGCCCGAAGAGCAAAGCAUCGAAUGGUUUGCUUGAGUAAUGCGGAAAGUCAGGGGUUCAGCUUGGAUUAGCUUCUGCUUGCUUGCUUGUUGUCUUGAGUUGGCAGAGUCCCCUGCGCUUUCUUCCAGUCUGUUUCUACCCAUGAAUCUUAAGGUAAAUUGCUGGAUGGCACAGUAAAAUCUAACCUUUCAUUCUUUUGCCAAAGCAACCCAGUAAGAGUGAUUGAUACUGAAUUUUCUCAGAGUCAGUUGAAAUUGUCUAGACAAAAAGUCUAUAGCAUUUUACAUGAAACCUGGUGGUCUUUGCAGUUUCUUUUUCUGUGGCAAAAAAUAAAAAAAUAAAUUUAUGCUUAAUUUGGGGAAAAGCUUGAUUUAUAUCACUUCAUUUGAGGUUUCAAAAGUUAACAUCGCUCACCCUUGGUUUUAGACCUGAAGCAUAUGGAAAUGAUUGAUAGGGAGUGGCCCAGACUUUAGGGUAGAUGAAACUGUGCUGGAAAGAUGCUGAGUUUCCUUGGUGAUACUGUGUUCAAAGCUGUCACUUUGUAGAACAGGGAAAGAAAUGGCCAUUCAUGAAGGAAUUCCCCUUGUGGCUUAGCUGUGUAAGAACCUGAAACUGUUUCCAUGAGGAUGCAAGUUUGAUCCCUGGCCUUGCUCAGUGCGUUAAGGAUCUGACGUUGCCAUGGCUGUGGCGUAGUCCAGCAGCUGCAGGUCUGAUUCCAUUCCUAGCCCAGGAACUUACACACACUACAGAUGCAGCAGUAGAAAGAAAAAAAAAAAGUCACUAAUGAGUUUAG